UAUUGGUCAAUGGGCUUACGCCUGAACCAGCCAAGUCGCGUGAGGGAAGACUGCCCUAUGGGUUGUAAACUUCUUUUAUAUGGGAAUANAGUGCAGUAUGUAUACUGCUUUGCUUGUACCUUAUGAAUAAGGAUCGACUAACUCCGUGCCAGCAGCCGCGGUAAUACGGAGGAUCCGAGCGUUAUCCGGAUUUAUUGGGUUUAAAGGGAGCGUAGGCGGGUUGUUAAGUCAGUUGUGAAAGUUUGCGGCUCAACCGUAAAAUUGCAGUUGAUACUGGCAUCCUUGAGUACAGUAGAGGUAGGCGGAAUUCGUGGUGUAGCGGUGAAAUGCUUAGAUAUCACGAAGAACUCCGAUUGCGAAGGCAGCCUGCUGGACUGUAACUGACGCUGAUGCUCGAAAGUGUGGGUAUCA
rnacentral:rRNA from 1 species